CAAAAUCUGGCUUAACUCCGGCGAGGAUUUCGGUGAGAGCUCCGGCGCCGUCACCAUCGUCGACCACCGCGCACGGUGGCCGAAAAUCCUAAAGUGACCCUUUUUUAAACCGUCUUAACCCCGGGGACUCCGAUCUAUCCUUAAAACUCGCUAAAAGCCUUCAAAGAUCGGAGGAAGACCGAAAAACCCCUCGGUUUCUUCUUCUCCGGCCGUCAGCAAGGUAAGUCUUUUCCUUUUUCUUUUUAUUCUUUCACGUAUAUAGGAAGUAAAACGGAGAAAAACAAUAAAAGAGAGAAAAAACCUAAUCACCUUAAAAGAAACUGAUCUUUUCUUUUAUUUUUGUAUCCUUUUACACUGAAAAAAACCCUUUUUACAGAUUUUCCCCAUCCCCAUUUUACAAAUUUUCUAUGGCUUUAAAUAGCCGAAAAUAAUAAUGCAAAUCCCCUCUUUUUCGUUAUUCUGAUAUUGUCAUCUGUUGUUUGUUGCUGUAGGUUCAACAUGCGCGACGUGCGCGGGGCGGGGAGGAUCGUCGCACGUGGAGGAGGCUUGCUCCGAUCCUUGCGGCGGCUGGAAAGGGAGGCUCCUAGGGUUUCUGUUUUUUGGUUAAGCUUUGGGCUAGGUUUAGUUUGGGUCAGGUGUUGGGCCAUUCUAGGUUUAGUUGGGUCUGUUUAUUGGUUUGGGCCCGGGCAUUAU
rnacentral:lncRNA from 1 species